rnacentral:rRNA from 1 species
CCUACGGCGGCAGCAGUGGGGAAUAUUGGACAAUGGGCGAAAGCCUGAUCCAGCCAUGCCGCGUGUGUGAAGAAGGCCUUCAGGUUGUAAAGCACUUUCAGUGGGGAAGAAAGCCUUGGGGCUAAUACCCUCGAGGAAGGACAUCACCCACAGAAGAAGCACCGGCUAACUCCGUGCCAGCAGCCGCGGUAAUACGGAGGGUGCGAGCGUUAAUCGGAAUUACUGGGCGUAAAGCGCGCGUAGGCGGUCUGAUAAGCCGGUUGUGAAAGCCCCGGGCUCAACCUGGGAACGGCAUCCGGAACUGUCAGGCUAGAGUGCAGGAGAGGAAGGUAGAAUUCCCGGUGUAGCGGUGAAAUGCGUAGAGAUCGGGAGGAAUACCAGUGGCGAAGGCGGCCUUCUGGACUGACACUGACGCUGAGGUGCGAAAGCGUGGGUAGCAAACAGGAUUAGAUACCCUUGUAGUC